CUACGGGAUGCACCAGUGAGGAAUAUUGCACAAUGGGGGGAACCCUGAUGCAGUAACGCCGCGUGGAGGAUGACGCAUUUCGGUGUGUAAACUCCUUUUAUAUGUCAAGAAAAUGACGGUAGCAUAUGAAUAAGCACCGGCUAACUCCGUGCCAGCAGCCGCGGUAAUACGGAGGGUGCAAGCGUUACUCGGAAUCACUGGGCGUAAAGGACGCGUAGGCGGGUUGGAAAGUCAGGUGUGAAAUCCUACAGCUUAACUGUAGAACUGCACUUGAAACUUCUAAUCUAGAGGAUGGGAGGGGGAGAUGGAAUUAGUGGUGUAGGGGUAAAAUCCGUAGAUAUCACUAGGAAUACCUAAAGCGAAGGCGAUCUCCUGGAACAUUACUGACGCUAAGGCGUGAAAGCGUGGGGAGCAAACAGGAUUAGAUACCCGCGUAGUC
rnacentral:rRNA from 1 species